AGGGCCCAACCUUGAGGGGCUCCCUCCCCCUGUAACAGCAACUCCAUGUGGAAGUGCCCACUGGUUCCAGUGGGGCUGCUGUUAUCUGGGGCGGGGGCCCGGAUCCACAGCCAAGGAG
rnacentral:pre_miRNA from 13 species